UGUGAUACCAGAGGGAGGGCGGGAACAAGAUGGCGGAAGUGAGAAGAGGCUUCCUGGCCUCACCUACCUGACUCCACUCCAGGUGACAUAAAAGAACAGCCAGGCUGAGGACCACGAGCUAGAAGCAAGCUGCCGCAUCAGCAGACAAAUACACUCCGAUGUUAACCUCUAGGCCAGAGGCAGGCAGUGUGAAUGGCUGGCAGCCUGUGUGACUCCGCCCUUCAACAUGGUGCCAAGACUCUGAUCUGAUCCCAACGCAGCCGCCAUGCUCCAGGAAGACAGCCAGCCAAGGCCUUUGCUCCGCACCAGCCUCCUAAGACCGGACAGCAACUUUAAGGAGACAGAGGGCCCACUCUCUAGUGUUUCCUGCACCACCUGAUUUACUGGAUUGUGUAGUCAUAACUCCCAUCUCACUCUGUACAACUCCAGCCACUUCAGGAAAGUGGCUUGACGCAGGGAGUUCCCAAGGGCCUUGGAGACAAAGGAACCCGCUUGCCCUGCCACUCACUCAGCUCUGUGGUUUCAGGCAAGUUGCCUGAUUUCUGUGAGCAUCUGUCUUUCCCUGUAUUAAAAGAGGAUUUUAUAACUA